CAAGAUGUAGUUUAAUUAGAACUUCAGUUUUGGGUGCUGGUGGUGAAGUUUAUUACUUCCUUCUUGA
rnacentral:tRNA from 1 species